CAGAAAAUGAAGGCAGGGUAAUUUGGGCGUGUAUGUGGUCACCUUUGUAAGGGGGUAAAUGGAAAUUUAGCUUUUGCCUCUGAUUGGCUCUUCUGAAGAUGGGCAGCAUUUAAAGUAGCCAUUGUCUCCAGCAAGACAUGCUCAUCACAGCAGGACAUUUCCAAGGAAUCAUUCUAACCAACAUAGUCUUUUUAGACUCUGCCACGUGUUGCUCAAUCAUGAGGGGGGCAAUGGCAUUCACUUGUCUUGUAGCUACAAUUUCAUGUGCUCCAUUAUCAUCAGACCCAACAGUGAAAAGUCUUCAGCAAACAGGAAACGUCCUACCAUCCCCUACAGAGGCUCAGAAGCCAGGGUCUCAGAUCAUGCCCCAUAUUCAACCAAGCGUACUGCAGCCUCUCCCUGAUGCCCAGAUGCUGUUUCCAUCGCAGCCGGCCAACCAGUACCCACAACCUGGCCAAUUCUACCUUAUUCAGCCGCCACAACAGUCACAGUUCUAUCCUCUGUACCCUCCCUAUGGACAGCUGUUUUAUCCUGCCGGCUAUCCACAAGUCCAGAUGAGUAAUCCUGCAGCCUUGCCUGUCCCGCAACCUGUCCAACCAUUUUCUGACACUCCGCUGACACAGCAGGUUCCCCCGUAUUUUUACAUGAUUCCACCAAUGGGCGCAUCUUCUGCCUUCAGUUCUGAGGAGAUGAUGGUUGGAGGUAGGAUGGGGAUUUAUCUGCCAACAUUAGGAGACGCCACAUCUGUAGCAGGAGGAAGACAAAUUCAGAAUCCAAUUCCUGCUCCCGUGCAACCCAUCAACCCCUCAGUUGUCAUCGAUCCAGCGGCACCUCUGAACCCAGUCAUGGCCUUAGACAACAGGGUAGCCCUGCCAGGUUAUGAGGCCAUGCAGUUAGGGUUUCCAUUUGGCAGAAUCCAGCAGACAGGGCAGGCAACACCUGAUGUACCAGGAGGUACCAUGCCGUCCUACAACCUUCUGCCUGCUGGCUUAGGGAAGCCUGAACCCAGUGGUGUUCCAACCAUGGCCAAUCAACAGAUCAAUACCAAGACUGUGGACAUGGUCAAGACCACAGCCGGAAAACCACAGAAACCCUUGUCUCUCCUCCCAGACACAGAGGUCAUUCCUUACUCUCCUGAGGGACAGGGCAUCAACAUGUUUCCUUAAAGCUUUUCAUGCACAUUUUUCCUUAAAUGACAACGUAUAAUCUGUUCUGUCGUAAUGAACAAAAUUAAUAUAUGCUAUACUUUUUGCUCAGUCAAGCUGUUUGAAACAAGAAACAAGAUGAACUAGCAGAUUGUUUUUGUUUCCAUUUUAUAUCUUUAUUUUACUGUACUUAUACUGUACUUUACUGUAUUUAUACUGUGUUUAUGCUAUCAAAGUUUGUAUUUCAUGCAAUCAUUGCAUCUGACUGUAACAUCAUGAAAAAUAUUAAAUCUAAGGUGGUGGUCAGCAUGAGUAAGCUUCUGUUUGCUACAUUUUUUUUUUUUUACACAAUUCAUUAAAUACAUGAGAAUAUUGAGAAAUGGUUGCUCAUGUAUGUUUGUCAAAUAAUUAUUUUAAUUGGAUCAUUACUUGAGAAUAGAAUGCAAAAACAUCAGUUUUAUGAAAACAGAGAGGCAUGGAAAUUUACAUACAUUUACAUUCAGUCUAUCACAAAUGAAUUCCAAGCCUUUUAUUCGUAAAUGUAUUGAUUUGAUUUGAUGAUUUUGAUAAAAAAUAAAAAAAACUAAUUCAAAUUGUGCUUCCUCCUG
ensembl:lncRNA AT-rich interactive domain-containing protein 2-like